CCCUACUAAUAUCAAUUUUCGAAAAGUAAUAUGUCAUGCUUUGUUGGGCUAUUUCCCAGAAAACCCUCUCGGUGUUCCCAGAAUCUGCACCUGGGGUAUCCUUCCUUAUUUGCAGUUUCUCCUUUUUCCCAAAUUCAUUAUUUGGGACAUUCUUCCUCUCUGUAUCUUUCGAAGAAAACUGACAUGUUCUAUGCUACACAGAAAAGGAUGUUGCCCAAUGCUUACCGGUUGUUCACGGGUACAUUUCUUUUAUGCUUUUUGUUGACUAAUUUUUGCUUAAUUUCAGUCCUGUAUUUCACUUAUGAGAGAGGAAAGUGUAAUGUAGAAAGUUAGUUUGAGCUACAAUUGCAUACAGUGUGUGUUGUUUAGGAACUGAAUAAAUAUCAAUAGUCUAUAUGCUAGCCUCGCAAAAUGUUAACUGAGUUUAUUACACCUCUGCCUUGCCUCUCGCCUCUUCUCUCGCUGUUGAUCACCCCUUCUCACAACUUCAUCUAAAAUGUUCUGCAUCUGCAUUUAUAAGAUUUUUGUUCAUGGAGGUCAUUUCAAAGGGAUCUCAAGUUAGGUUGCAGAGAUUUGAUUCAAAUUUAUGGAUUUGGAGCAACGCUGUGCUCCAAUCUGUUUAGGGCUUGGAGCUAGAUCUUUCAAGUUUGGGUGCUGUGAGUUUUAAUUCCAGAAGCAAAAGUACCCUUAAUUGGCUACCUUUGGACUCUCAAGCUGUAUAUUGCUGUUAACGAAUAUUUGGGUAAGCGUUCUAAUUUCAUAGGGACAGCUGUUGGCAGCAUCUUCAAUAUUUAUGGUGGAAAAUGGAAUCUGCAACCGAUAAGGCCAAGUAUAGACACUGGUUCCAUGUUUGGUUGGUUUAUUCUGCUUUUUUGUUCUUCAGAAUUUUCUUCUCUUAUGAAAGAGUUCUUGAUAGAGGUCGCACUUGGUGCAAUGUCUUCGCCCAUAAGCGGUAGGUCUCGGGUUCGAGACUUGGAAGCAGCCUCUCCAUAAAUAGGGAGUGCCAAUAAAGACCACCGUAUCAGCUACUGUCUUGGAGGAGGCACUAAAUGGCGUGGUCACUACCCAUCCACUUCCAUUGGGGCAUUCUAUAAUGAAAAAGGUUGAAAAUCAAUGUGAUCACUUCUAUUCUGUUACAAUAACCUAAGCGGAAGCAAGAGCUGAAUUUGUCUGCUAAGUGCAAUCUCCUG